rnacentral:rRNA from 1 species
UACGUAGGGGGCGAGCGUUGUCCGGAUUUAUUGGGCGUAAAGAGCGUGUAGGCGGCCAGGUAGGUCUGCUGUGAAAACUCGAGGCUCAACCUCGAGACGUCGGCGGAAACCAUCUGGCUAGAGUCCGGAAGAGGAGAGUGGAAUUCCGUGGUGUAGCGGUGAAAUGCGCAGAUAUCAGGAAGAACACCCGUGGCGAAGGCGGCUCUCGUGGGACGGUACUGACGCUGAGACGACGAAGCGUGGGGAGCGAACAGG